GGUUAAGCGACUAAGCGUACACGGUGGAUGCCCUGGCAGUCAGAGGCGAUGAAGGACGUGCUAAUCUGCGAAAAGCGUCGGUAAGGUGAUAUGAACCGUUAUAACCGGCGAUGUCCGAAUGGGGAAACCCAGUGCAAUUCGUUGCACUAUCGUUAACUGAAUACAUAGGUUAACGAGGCGAACCGGGGGAACUGAAACAUCUAAGUACCCCGAGGAAAAGAAAUCAACCGAGAUUCCCCCAGUAGCGGCGAGCGAACGGGGAGCAGCCCAGAGUCUGAAUCAGCUUGUGUGUUAGUGGAACGGUCUGGAAAGUCCGACGGUACAGGGUGAUAGUCCCGUACACCAAAAUGCACAGGCUGUGAACUCGAAGAGUAGGGCGGGACACGUGGUAUCCUGUCUGAAUAUGGGGGGACCAUCCUCCAAGGCUAAAUACUCCUGACUGACCGAUAGUGAACCAGUACCGUGAGGGAAAGGCGAAAAGAACCCCGGCGAGGGGAGUGAAAAAGAACCUGAAACCGUGUACGUACAAGCAGUGGGAGCACCUUCGGGUGUGACUGCGUACCUUUUGUAUAAUGGGUCAGCGACUUAUAUUCUGUAGCAAGGUUAACCGUAUAGGGGAGCCGCAGGGAAACCGAGUCUUAACUGGGCGUUAAGUUGCAGGGUAUAGACCCGAAACCCGGUGAUCUAGCCAUGGGCAGGUUGAAGGUUGGGUAACACUAACUGGAGGACCGAACCGACUAAUGUUGAAAAAUUAGCGGAUGACUUGUGGCUGGGGGUGAAAGGCCAAUCAAACCGGGAGAUAGCUGGUUCUCCCCGAAAGCUAUUUAGGUAGCGCCUCGUGAACUCAUCUUCGGGGGUAGAGCACUGUUUCGGCUAGGGGGUCAUCCCGACUUACCAACCCGAUGCAAACUACGAAUACCGAAGAAUGUUAUCACGGGAGACACACGGCGGGUGCUAACGUCCGUCGUGAAGAGGGAAACAACCCAGACCGCCAGCUAAGGUCCCAAAGUCAUGGUUAAGUGGGAAACGAUGUGGGAAGGCACAGACAGCCAGGAUGUUGGCUUAGAAGCAGCCAUCAUUUAAAGAAAGCGUAAUAGCUCACUGGUCGAGUCGGCCUGCGCGGAAGAUGUAACGGGGCUAAACCAUGCACCGAAGCUGCGGCAGCGACACUAUGUGUUGUUGGGUAGGGGAGCGUUCUGUAAGCCUGCGAAGGUGUGCUGUGAGGCAUGCUGGAGGUAUCAGAAGUGCGAAUGCUGACAUAAGUAACGAUAAAGCGGGUGAAAAGCCCGCUCGCCGGAAGACCAAGGGUUCCUGUCCAACGUUAAUCGGGGCAGGGUGAGUCGACCCCUAAGGCGAGGCCGAAAGGCGUAGUCGAUGGGAAACAGGUUAAUAUUCCUGUACUUGGUGUUACUGCGAAGGGGGGACGGAGAAGGCUAUGUUAGCCGGGCGACGGUUGUCCCGGUUUAAGCAUGUAGGCUGGUUAUCCAGGCAAAUCCGGAUAAUCAAGGCUGAGGUGUGAUGACGAGGCACUACGGUGCUGAAGUAACAAAUGCCCUGCUUCCAGGAAAAGCCUCUAAGCAUCAGGUAACAUCAAAUCGUACCCCAAACCGACACAGGUGGUCAGGUAGAGAAUACCAAGGCGCUUGAGAGAACUCGGGUGAAGGAACUAGGCAAAAUGGUGCCGUAACUUCGGGAGAAGGCACGCUGGUGUGUAGGUGAAGCCCCUGCGGGUGGAGCUGAGACCAGUCGAAGAUACCAGCUGGCUGCAACUGUUUAUUAAAAACACAGCACUGUGCAAACACGAAAGUGGACGUAUACGGUGUGACGCCUGCCCGGUGCCGGAAGGUUAAUUGAUGGGGUUAUCCGUAAGGAGAAGCUCUUGAUCGAAGCCCCGGUAAACGGCGGCCGUAACUAUAACGGUCCUAAGGUAGCGAAAUUCCUUGUCGGGUAAGUUCCGACCUGCACGAAUGGCGUAAUGAUGGCCAGGCUGUCUCCACCCGAGACUCAGUGAAAUUGAACUCGCUGUGAAGAUGCAGUGUACCCGCGGCAAGACGGAAAGACCCCGUGAACCUUUACUAUAGCUUGACACUGAACAUUGAGCCUUGAUGUGUAGGAUAGGUGGGAGGCUUUGAAGCGUGGACGCCAGUCUGCGUGGAGCCAACCUUGAAAUACCACCCUUUAAUGUUUGAUGUUCUAACGUUGGCCCCUUACCGGGGUUGCGGACAGUGUCUGGUGGGUAGUUUGACUGGGGCGGUCUCCUCCCAAAGCGUAACGGAGGAGCACGAAGGUUAGCUAAUCCUGGUCGGACAUCAGGAGGUUAGUGCAAUGGCAUAAGCUAGCUUGACUGCGAGCGUGACGGCGCGAGCAGGUGCGAAAGCAGGUCAUAGUGAUCCGGUGGUUCUGAAUGGAAGGGCCAUCGCUCAACGGAUAAAAGGUACUCCGGGGAUAACAGGCUGAUACCGCCCAAGAGUUCAUAUCGACGGCGGUGUUUGGCACCUCGAUGUCGGCUCAUCACAUCCUGGGGCUGAAGUAGGUCCCAAGGGUAUGGCUGUUCGCCAUUUAAAGUGGUACGCGAGCUGGGUUUAGAACGUCGUGAGACAGUUCGGUCCCUAUCUGCCGUGGGCGCUGGAGAAUUGAGGGGGGCUGCUCCUAGUACGAGAGGACCGGAGUGGACGCAUCACUGGUGUUCGGGUUGUCAUGCCAAUGGCACUGCCCGGUAGCUAAAUGCGGAAGAGAUAAGUGCUGAAAGCAUCUAAGCACGAAACUUGCCCCGAGAUGAGUUCUCCCUGAGACUUUAAGUCUCCUGAAGGAACGUUGAAGACGAUGACGUUGAUAGGCCGGGUGUGUAAGCGCAGCGAUGCGUUGAGCUAACCGGUACUAAUGAACCGUGAGGCUUAACCUU
rnacentral:rRNA from 1 species